CUUAUAGUCCGCUGAUAUUUUACAGGUAUUUCAGAAGGAAUCUGGUGUGAAUCCAGAGCUGUGCCGCAACGGUAAUCCCAUUUGGGUAAGCCCGGGCGACUGAGGUACUAAUUUCCCGAGC
rnacentral:ncRNA from 2 species